CCUGCAAUUUACCAGAGUAUCUAAGCGUUAUGAGGAUAUCACCAUUCUCAUACAAGCGUAAUGGUAAUAGUUGUGAAGCAUGUAGCUUGAAACCAAUUCGAAGAUCUUGAUAACUAACUUUCAGUAAUUGAAUCCAAGAUAGAACUUCAGAUUCCAUUGUUUUCCAUACAACAAAAUGAGUUCCCUUGUAAUCAUAAGAAAGACAAAGGCCG
rnacentral:lncRNA from 1 species